UACGGGAGGCAGCAGUGGGGAAUAUUGGACAAUGGGCGAAAGCCUGAUCCAGCCAUGCCGCGUGUGUGAAGAAGGUCUUCGGAUUGUAAAGCACUUUAAGUUGGGAGGAAGGGCAGUAAGAUAAUACCUUGCUGNUUGACGUACCGACAGAUAGC
rnacentral:rRNA from 1 species